rnacentral:piRNA from 1 species
UAAUACAUCUAGUUGUUCCUGGACAA